rnacentral:rRNA from 1 species
UACGAAGGGGGCUAGCGUUGUUCGGAAUUACUGGGCGUAAAGCGCGCGCAGGCGGCUAUCCAAGUCAGUGGUGAAAGCCCGGAGCUCAACUCCGGAACUGCCAUUGAAACUGUGAGACUUGAGGAUGAGAGAGGUGAGUGGAAUUCCCAGUGUAGAGGUGAAAUUCGUAGAUAUUGGGAAGAACACCGGUGGCGAAGGCGGCUCACUGGCUCAUUUCUGACGCUCAGGCGCGACAGCGUGGGGAUCAAACAGG